rnacentral:rRNA from 1 species
CAACUCUCAACAACGGAUAUCUUGGCUCUCAGAUCGAUGAAGAACGCAGCGAAAUGCGAUACAUAGUGUGAAUUGCAGAAAUACGUGAAUCAUCGAAUUUUUGAACGCAAAUUGCGCUCGAGGCUUCGGCCAAGAGCAUGUCUGCCUCAGCGUCGGGUU